UACGAAGGGGGCUAGCGUUGCUCGGAUUGACUGGGCGUAAAGGGCGCGUAGGCGGUUCGUACAGUCGGACGUGAAAUUCCUGGGCUCAACCUGGGGGCUGCGUUUGAUACGUGCGGACUUGAGUGCGGAAGAGGGUCGUGGAAUUCCAGGUGUAGCGGUGAAAUGCGUAGAUAUCUGGAGGAACACCGGUGGCGAAGGCGGCAUCCUGGACCGACACUGACGCUGAGGCGCGAAAGCUAGGGGAGCAAACGGG
rnacentral:rRNA from 1 species